rnacentral:rRNA from 1 species
UACGAAGGGGGCUAGCGUUGCUCGGAAUUACUGGGCGUAAAGCGCACGUAGGCGGCUUUCUAAGUCGGGGGUGAAAUCCUGGAGCUCAACUCCAGAACUGCCUUCGAUACUGGGAAGCUCGAGUCCGGGAGAGGUGAGUGGAACUGCGAGUGUAGAGGUGAAAUUCGUAGAUAUUCGCAAGAACACCAGUGGCGAAGGCGGCUCACUGGCCCGGUACUGACGCUGAGGUGCGAAAGCGUGGGGAGCAAACAGG